rnacentral:rRNA from 1 species
UACGUAGGGGGCAAGCGUUGUCCGGAUUUAUUGGGCGUAAAGAGCGUGUAGGCGGCUGGGUAGGUCCGUUGUGAAAACUCGAGGCUCAACCUCGAGACGCCGAUGGAAACCUUCCAGCUAGAGUCCGGAAGAGGAGAGUGGAAUUCCUGGUGUAGCGGUGAAAUGCGCAGAUAUCAGGAAGAACACCCGUGGCUAAGGCGGCUCUCUAGUACGGUACUGACGCUGAGACGCGAAAGCGUGGGGAGCGAACAGG